GACGAACGCUGGCGGCGUGCUUAACACAUGCAAGUCGAACGGAAAGGCCCUGCUUUUGUGGGGUGCUCGAGUGGCGAACGGGUGAGUAACACGUGAGUAACCUGCCCUUGACUUUGGGAUAACUUCAGGAAACUGGGGCUAAUACCGGAUAGGAGCUCCUGCUGCAUGGUGGGGGUUGGAAAGUUUCGGCGGUUGGGGAUGGACUCGCGGCUUAUCAGCUUGUUGGUGGGGUAGUGGCUUACCAAGGCUUUGACGGGUAGCCGGCCUGAGAGGGUGACCGGCCGCAGGGGGGGGGAGAGACGGACAAGACGGCAACGGGGGGGAGCAGGGGGGGAUAUGGCGCAAGGGGCGGAAGCGGGGUGCAGGAAUGUCGCGGGCGGGACGCCGGCCGAGGGGUGGUAGACCGCGUGCGGCUGAGACGACGGGUGAGUAACGGGAAGGGGCAAAGAAGCAACGGAUAACGACGUG
rnacentral:rRNA from 1 species